GGGUCGAUGCCCGAGUGGUUAAUGGGGGCGGACUGUAAAUCCGCUGGCUACGCCUACGUUGGUUCGAAUCCAACUCGGCCCACCA
rnacentral:tRNA from 1 species